rfam:Ornithorhynchus anatinus chromosome 2, whole genome shotgun sequence.
CCCCUCUCAGGAUCGUGCCUGGAGAGUUUCCGGUACUCUACUAGUCUUGGCUAUGGGAGGGAUAGUCAAGCAGAGGCAUACCCAUUCCAUUCCUAGCUUGGGCAGUGGCUAGUGAGUAGUAGGCUAUUUGCUACAAGU